CCUACGGGGUGCAGCAGUGGGGAAUAUUGGACAAUGGGCGAAAGCCUGAUCCAGCCAUGCCGCGUGUGUGAAGAAGGCCUUCGGGUUGUAAAGCACUUUCAGUGGGGAAGAAAGCCUUGGGGCUAAUACCCUCGAGGAAGGACAUCACCCACAGAAGAAGCACCGGCUAACUCCGUGCCAGCAGCCGCGGUAAUACGGAGGGUGCGAGCGUUAAUCGGAAUUACUGGGCGUAAAGCGCGCGUAGGCGGUCUGAUAAGCCGGUUGUGAAAGCCCCGGGCUCAACCUGGGAACGGCAUCCGGAACUGUCAGGCUAGAGUGCAGGUGAGGAAGGUAGAAUUCCCGGUGUAGCGGUGAAAUGCGUAGAGAUCGGGAGGAAUACCAGUGGCGAAGGCGGCCUUCUGGACUGACACUGACGCUGAGGUGCGAAAGCGUGGGUAGCAAACAGGAUUAGAUACCCUAGUAGUC
rnacentral:rRNA from 1 species